rnacentral:rRNA from 1 species
ACGGCUCAGUAACACGUGGACAACUUACCCAAGAGUCCGGGAUAACCCCGGGAAACUGGGGAUAAUACCGGAUAGAUCAUCUUUGCUGGAAGGCUUGGUGGUUGAAACUUCCGGGGCUUUUGGAUGGGUCUGCGGCUGAUUAGGUUGUUGCCGGUGUAACGUACCGUCAAGCCUGUAAUCAGUACGGGUUGUGGGAGCAAGAGCCCGGAGAUGGAUUCUGAGACACGAAUCCAGGCCCUACGGGGCGCAGCAGGCGCGAAAACUCUACAAUGCAGGCAACUGCGAUAGGGGAACAUCGAGUGGUCCUCAUAUUGGGGGUCUGUCCACCCGUCUAAAAAACGGGUGUUAGCAGGGGCCGGGCAAGACCGGUGCCAGCCGCCGCGGUAAUACCGGCGGCUCGAGUGGUGGCCGAUAUUAUUGAGUCUAAAGGGUCCGUAGCCGGCUUUGCAAGUCUCUCGGGAAAUCCAGCGGCUUAACCGUUGGUCGUCCGGGGGGUACUACAUUGCUUGGGACUGGGAGAGGUAGGAGGUACUCAGGGGGUAGGAGUGAAAUCCUGUAAUCCUUUGGGGACCACCGGUGGCGAAGGCGUCCUACCAGAACAGGUCCGACGGUGAGGGACGAAAGCUAGGGGCACGAACCGGAUUAGAUACCCGGGUAGUCCUAGCCGUAAACGAUGCUCGCUAGGUGUCACAACAGUCGUGAAUUGUUGUGGUGCCGUAGGGAAGCCGUGAAGCGAGCCACUUGGGAAGUACGACCGCAAGGUUGAAACUUAAAGGAAUUGGCGGGGGAGCAC